UACGUAGGGGGCAAGCGUUGUCCGGAUUUAUUGGGCGUAAAGAGCGUGUAGGCGGCCAGGUAGGUCUGCUGUGAAAACUCGAGGCUUAACCUCGAGCUGUCGGCGGAAACCAUCUGGCUAGAGUCCGGAAGAGGAGAAUGGAAUUCCCGGUGUAGCGGUGAAAUGCGCAGAUAUCGGGAAGAACACCCGGUGGCGAAGGCGGUUCUCUGGGA
rnacentral:rRNA from 1 species